UCGAGAAUUUUUCUCAAUGGGCGCAAGCCUGAAGGAGCGACGCCGCGUGGAGGAUGAAGGUCUUCGGAUUGUAAACUCCUGUCAUUAGGGAACAAAGCCCACUUAGUAACUGAUGUUGGGUUUGCUAGUACCUGAAGAGGAAGAGACGGCUAACUCUGUGCCAGCAGCCGCGGUAAUACAGAGGUCUCAAGCGUUGUUCGGAUUCAUUGGGCGUAAAGGGUGCGUAGGCUGCGCUGUAAGUCGGGUGUGAAAUCCCGGGGCUCAACCCCGGAACUGCACUCGAUACUGCGGCGCUCGAGAACUGAAGAGGAGACUGGAAUUCCUGGUGUAGCAGUGAAAUGCGUAGAUAUCAGGAGGAACGCCAAUGGCGAAGGCAAGUCUCUGGGCAGUUUCUGACGCUGAGGCACGAAGGCCAGGGGAGCAAACGGGAUUAGAUACCCCCGUAGUCC
rnacentral:rRNA from 1 species